rnacentral:rRNA from 1 species
GCGAAUGGCUCAUUAAAUCAGUUAUAAUUUAUUUGAUAUUCACUUACUACUUGGAUAACCGUGGUAAUUCUAGAGCUAAUACAUGCGUACAUAACCUCGACUUCUGGAAGAGGUGCACUUAUUAGAUAAAAAGCCAACGCGGGCAACCGCUUGUAUGGUGAUUCAUAAUAAUUAAUCGAAUCGCAUGGCCUUGUGCCGGCGAUGAUGCAUUCAAAUUUCUGCCCUAUCAAGUUUCGAUGGUAGGUUAGUGGCCUACCAUGCUUUUAACGGGUAACGGGGAAUUAGGGUUCGAUUCCGGAGAGGGAGCCUGAGAAACGGCUACCACAUCCAAGGAAGGCAGCAGGCGCGCAAAUUACCCAAUCCCGACACGGGGAGGUAGUGACAAUAAAUAACAAUACAGGGCCUUUACGGGUCUUGUAAUUGGAAUGAGUACAAUUUAAAUCCCUUAACGAGGAACAAUUGGAGGGCAAGUCUGGUGCCAGCAGCCGCGGUAAUUCCAGCUCCAAUAGCGUAUAUUAAAGUUGUUGCAGUUAAAAAGCUCGUAGUUGAAUUUUGGCCUUCGCCUGUGGGGUUCGGUCUUCAUUGAUCGGUACCUCAACGGGCGGGGCUCCACCUUCUGGGUUAGCCAGUCGUCAUUUCGGUGGCGGCUGGUGAACCAGAACUUUUACUUUGAAAAAAUUGGAGUGUUUAAAGCAGGCUUUCAAGCUUGAACAUAUUAGCAUGGAAUAAUGAAAUAGGACUUUGGCCUUAUUUCGUUGGUUUCUAAAGCCAAAGUAAUGAUGAAUAGGGAUAGUUGGGGACAUUAGUAUUCAAUUGUCAGAGGUGAAAUUCUUGGAUUUAUUGAAGACUAACUUCUGCGAAAGCAUUUGUCAAGGAUGUUUUCAUUAAUCAAGAACGAAAGUUAGGGGAUCGAAGACGAUCAGAUACCGUCGUAGUCUUAACCAUAAACUAUGCCGACUAAGGAUCGGAUGGUGUUAUAUUUUAUAUUGACCCAUUCGGCAUUUCAGCGAA